CGGGUGAGGAAUACAUCGGAAUUUGCCCAGUCGUGGGGGAUAACGUAGGGAAACUUACGCUAAUACCGCAUACGACCUUACGGUGAAAGCGGGGGAUCGCAAGACCUCGCGCGAGUGGAUGAGCCGAUGUCGGAUUAGCUAGUUGGUGGGGUAAAGGCCUACCAAGGCGACGAUCCGUAGCUGGUCUGAGAGGAUGAUCAGCCACACUGGGACUGAGACACGGCCCAG
rnacentral:rRNA from 1 species